ACUUAUGCAAAUCAGCACAGAGAAUGGAGUAUACUUUAGGAUUCACACUGGCACCGUGGUUCUAUAUAGCAAUUUAUUCAUCUCUUGGAGAGAAGUUCCUUUUUGGACUCCUUGUGCUUUACAACAUGUAAGUACCUAUUUUUAUGUUCUCUUUUGUCAGUUAUCUCUAGAAUUUAAAACAUUACUUAUGCUUUCCUUUAGUUAGCCGAUCACUGUGGGAAGACAUACACAAUUCAUUUUUAUCCCCUAUUGGACAUAUAUACACUAGCCAACCAUCAUCUAUUACAAUCUCACAACUGUGAGUUUCCAAACAACUUCACUGUGGCAUGCGCUGUUUUGCUCUUGGACACUGCAUUAUCAUCACAAUCAUUCGUACUAUGAAAGAAAAAUGCAUUAAAUAUGAAACAGCCCAGAGUACAAAGUUUCUGCCUUCUAGGAACUUAUUUUUUAAUGAAUGCUGUUAUUUAACUGAUAACGUAUUAUGCCACAAUGUCUUCCAGCUUUGCUGUGAAAUAGGUUGAUGAAAAUAUUGAGGAACAAAUUGAGGAAAAUAAGACAAGCAAAGGAACUUAGAAAGUUUCAUUGAAGAGUAUAGUGUGUCUAAAACACUAUAUGAGUUCCUUUCAUGUUUCUUUAAGGCAGAGAUUAAUGAAAUGUUACCAUUUCACUAAAUGAGAUUGACAAAUAUAAGGUUUUUUUUCCAUUAUUUAUUGCUCUAAAUCUAUCCAUACUCAUCAUUAUUUUCACCAGAUCUAUACUGGAUACUCAGUAAAGCAAUUCAUAUGUGCAUUUAGAAAUUUUUGAAGCAAGUUUGAAGUUUAAAUAUGUUUGAUGAUACUGCUUAAAGAUUGAAUGGGGUCUUAAGUCUUGAGUUGCCAGUUGCCUCUCUUCCAAUGAAAUCUUCAAGGGAACUUUAUAAAAGGAACCAAGAGUGAGUGAGAAUCAACAUGUAUUUUAUUGUCAACUAGAUAGGUAGCAGAUUGUAAUGAGGAACGUGCCUUUGGUUGGAAGCCUACAUGGGCAACUAUUUCCCUUAAGGGUUAAGCCUCAGUUUUGAAAAAGUACUGGUUAUCUGCACCAUCUUGGAACCUGGCAGAAUUGCCAGUAUAUUUAAAUGUUCAAAUGGAUAAAAACAUAGCCAAAAAUACUUUCUUAGGAUGGUAGACUUGGGUCAGUUCAUCCCUCCAUUUUCCAUGGAAUAGAGAGGGAAGAGAUGACGAUUUUCUGUAUUAAGGUGUUCUUGGGUCUUCUCAUCACAUAAAGGUAGUCAGUAGAUGGGUCAUAUCUUAGUACAAGACCAGCAAAUUCAGAUGGUUUCUACACUUGGGUGUAUAUGCCCUCAAAUAAUAUUCUACAUUCUGAAAAGUUAAGUUAAUGGUUUCUCCAUUUUAAGAAAAUGCAGGAAAGGAAUAUCAAGUGGCAGAAGCUGAUGGAGAGAUAUUUUUCUGAAGUAGAGGGCCUCGUCUUUCCUCCUGCAGAACCAAACUCUGAGUACCAUAUUAGACUGAUGUUCGAAAGAAACACUUCGGUAUCCCUUCCUUAGAAUCGUGAUAGUAUAGUCAAGACUUACAUUUUGUGUAGUGUACUCUGCUCAUUUUGCUCAUUAAUGGGAGGUAGCUUCUGGAGAUUUCUAACAUUGCAUAAAUACUCAAAUGUUUCCAACAGCUUCUUUUCAAAUCUUUCCUUUGCAAUUUACUUUCAUUUUUCUCUAUUCUCUAUUCUCUACAUCACUAACAAACUCAAAUAUCUAGAAGAAGGCAAAAUAGAGGUCUUCGAUAAUAUUAACUCAUGCAAAAUACAGCUGUCUUCUUUUCUGAGAUCUUUACACAUACUGUUUUAUCUCAGUUUACACACAAGUCUAACAAUCAAGCGUAUACAAAUCUCAGACUGUGGGCAAUUAGAAAGUACAGAUAAGAAAGGGGAGAUAUACAGGUUACUAAUUGAGAAUAGCAGUGAAUAACUUAAUAGCCAGAGGACAAACUUAUAAAAAAACACAUAAAAAUCCUAGAAAUCAUGGAGUUCAAGUCAGUUCCUAUAGGAAUAAACCAGCCCGAGAGACAAUUGACUUCAGAUUAUCAGAUAGUUGGAUACACUCAAUAAAAAAAAAAAUCUGUAAAAUAUGGAAUACAAAUAAGUAAUCUUUAAUUUUAACUCUGUCUUAGAAAUCACUCUUAUAGAGAAGCAUAUACCAGUAUCAAAAAUAAAAAUUAUUAUAUUACAAGUGUUUAUUUCAUGAUGUAAGGUUUAGUUAUUUGUAAUAAGUGACACUAACUCUUUAUCAUCCUAGUUGUAUGAGAAGUUAUUUAUAAAAAUAGAAAAGGGGGCUUCAUAAGAUUAAUAGUGAAAUUAACGGCCUAAAGUUUAAUAAGCCUGUGUUCAAAUCCUAACUUUGAUAAUUAACUCUCAUGCAUUUCACUUUCUUUACGCAAUAUCAUCUUUGUAGGAAUUUAAUGCUUAUUCCCAUUAUUUAGAGUUAUUUUGAUCAUUAAGUGAUAAUUGCUGGAGGCUAUUUGGGCUGCCCACAAGUAAUCUAGUAGAACAUAAUAAAUAAUGGACAUAGCUUUUUCAAUUUAUCUCUAACUCAAUAAUAUAGGCCUUGAGAAGUAAGCAUUUAGAACCAGUCUCCUAAAAAUAAACUUCUGAGAGUGUUGUGAAUAAAUACAGGACAUUGAGAAACUAACUGUUCUUCCUCCAGCGCCCUCUAUCUUUGAGCUUGUAGCUGACAGCAUAAUUUCAUGACAUCAGCACUGUCCAAGAUGGAAGUGGCUGAGAAUAGAUGCAAAUGUGUGACUCCUUUUUGAUAAGUGGCUUGAAAAAUGCUUGUUUCCCAAAUUCAGCCACUUAUCUCAGGAGUCAUGUUGAACAACAAAACAUCACCCAGGCAGAUAGUAUGGGCACCAGGGCAGCCCCACAUCAUGACUAAGAUCCAGCCCUCUUAGCUCUUUUCCACUAGGUGUGUAGGCUACACUUCUGAACAAGUUCAGGUUGUUCCAUCAUAGAUGAUGUCUUUGAGGAAGAGUCAUUGAAAACCAAAGUAUUUUUAUUUUGCUUAAUGCAAUAAUAUUAAAAACAGCAGGAAUUGGGGAGUUGCCGUUGUAGCUCAGUGGUUAACGAAUCCGACUAAGAACCAUGAGGUUUCAGGUUCAAUCCCUGGCCAUGCUCAGUGGGGUAAGGAUCCAGCGUUGCUGUGAGGUGUGGUGUAGGUUGCAGACGUGUCUCGGAUCCUACGUUGCUGUGGCUUUGGCGUAGGCUUGGCAGCUGCAGCUCCGAUUAGACCCCUAGCCUGGGAACCUCCAUAUGCCGUGGGUGCGACCCUAGAAAAGGCAAAAAGACAAAAAAAAAAAAAAAAAAAAAAAAAAAAA
rnacentral:lncRNA from 1 species